rnacentral:rRNA from 1 species
UACGUAGGGGGCUAGCGUUGUCCGGAAUCAUUGGGCGUAAAGCGCGUGUAGGCGGUCCGGUAAGUCCGCUGUGAAAGUCGGGGGCUCAACCCUCGGAUGCCGGUGGAUACUGUCGGGCUUGAGUACGGAAGAGGCGAGUGGAAUUCCUGGUGUAGCGGUGAAAUGCGUAGAUAUUGGGAGGAACACCAGUGGCGAAGGCGGCUCACUGGACCGGUACUGACGCUGAGGCGCGAAAGCGUGGGGAGCAAACGGG